CAGCCGCCGCGGGAAAACGUAGGUGGCAAGCGUUGUCCGGAAUUAUUGGGCGUAAAGGGCUCGCAGGCGGUUUCUUAAGUCUGAUGUGAAAGCCCCCGGCUCAACCGGGGAGGGUCAUUGGAAACUGGGAAACUUGAGUGCAGAAGAGGAGAGUGGAAUUCCACGUGUAGCGGUGAAAUGCGUAGAGAUGUGGAGGAACACCAGUGGCGAAGGCGACUCUCUGGUCUGUAACUGACGCUGAGGAGCGAAAGCGUGGGGAGCGAACAGGAUUAGAGACCCCUGUAGUCCCUGUCUCUUAUAC
rnacentral:rRNA from 1 species